rnacentral:rRNA from 1 species
AACGAACGCUGGCGGCGUGCUUAACACAUGCAAGUCGAACGCGAAAGGGACUUCGGUCCUGAGUAAAGUGGCGCACGGGUGAGUAACGCGUGGAUAAUCUGCCCAAUGGCCUGGGAUAACAUCUCGAAAGGGGUGCUAAUACCGGAUAAGACCACGGGAUCUUAGGAUUCUGCGGUAAAAGGUGGGGACCUUCGGGCCUACCGUCGGUGGAUGAGUCCGCGUACCAUUAGCUAGUUGGUAGGGUAAUGGCCUACCAAGGCUACGAUGGUUAGGUGGUCUGAGAGGAUGAUCAGCCACACUGGAACUGAGACACGGUCCAGACUCCUACGGGAGGCAGCAGUGGGGAAUUUUGCGCAAUGGGGGAAUCCCUGACGCAGCAACGCCGCGUGAGUGAUGAAGGCCUUCGGGUCGUAAAGCUCUGUCAGGGGGGAAGAAGUGCAGUGGUGCUAAUAUCGCCAUUGUUUGACGGUACCCUCAAAGGAAGCACCGGCUAACUCCGUGCCAGCAGCCGCCGUAAAAC